GAUGAAGAACGUAGCGAAAUGCGAUAAGUAAUGUGAAUUGCAGAAUUCAGUGAAUCAUCGAAUCUUUGAACGCACAUUGCGCCCGCCAGAAUUCUGGCGGGCAUGCCUGUUCGAGCGUCAUUUCAACCCUCGAGCUCCCCUUGGGGAGCCCGGCGUUGGGGACCGGCAGUAACACCGCCGGCCCCGAAAUGGAGUGGCGGCCCCGCCCGCGGCGACCUCUGCGUAGUAAAUCCACUCGCACCGGGACCCGGGCGCGGCCACGCCGUAAAACACCCAACUUCCGAAUGUUGACCUCGAAUCAGGUAGGAAUACCCGCUGAACUUAAGCAUAUCAAUAAGCGGAGGA
rnacentral:misc_RNA from 1 species